rnacentral:rRNA from 1 species
UACGUAGGUGGCAAGCGUUGUCCGGAUUUAUUGGGUUUAAAGGGUGCGUAGGCGGCCCUGUAAGUCAGUGCUGAAAUAUCCCAGCUUAACUGGGAGGGUGGCAUUGAUACUGCGGGGCUAGAGUACAGAUGAGGUAGGCGGAAUUGACGGUGUAGCGGUGAAAUGCUUAGAUAUCGUCAAGAACACCUAUAGCGAAGGCAGCUUACUAGGCUGUAACUGGCGCUGAGGCACGAAAGUGUGGGGAUCAAACAGG